rnacentral:lncRNA from 1 species
AGGGCUGGGUUAGCAGGCUCGUAGCCCGCGGGAGCGAGUUCGGGGUGGAAAAUGAAGCACUUGCUCUGCUGGUGACCCAUGGUUCUGCAGAACUCGCAAGAUGGCCUAUUCCCCCGCGAUUCGCUAACACCCUGUCCCUGCUUGGGCUUAGAUGGCCCAGCCCCCUUCUGCUUUUGCCCGCCUAUUCCCCUGGACCCCCCUGAGGUCGACGCGCUGCCCUGUCCCUGGGAAAUCAAGGCAACCAAACGCUCAACA